rnacentral:rRNA from 1 species
AGUGAACGCUGGCGGUAGGCCUAACACAUGCAAGUCGAACGGCAGCACAGUAAGAGCUUGCUCUUACGGGUGGCGAGUGGCGGACGGGUGAGGAAUACAUCGGAAUCUACUUUUUCGUGGGGGAUAACGUAGGGAAACUUACGCUAAUACCGCAUACGACCUACGGGUGAAAGCAGGGGAUCUUCGGACCUUGCGCGAUUGAAUGAGCCGAUGUCGGAUUAGCUAGUUGGCGGGGUAAAGGCCCACCAAGCCGACGAUCCGUAGCUGGUCUGAGAGGAUGAUCAGCCACACUGGAACUGAGACACGGUCCAGACUCCUACGGGAGGCAGCAGUGGGGAAUAUUGGACAAUGGGCGCAAGCCUGAUCCAGCCAUACCGCGUGGGUGAAGAAGGCCUUCGGAUUGUAAAGCCCUUUUGUUGGGAAAGAAAAGCAGCAGGUGAAUACCCCGCUGUUCUGACGGUACCCAAAGAAUAAGCACCGGCUAACUUCGUG